rnacentral:rRNA from 1 species
CCUACGGGUGGCAGCAGUGGGGAAUAUUGGGCAAUUGGCGAAAGCCUGACCCAGCAACGCCGCGUGAAGGAAGAAGGCUUUCGGGUUGUAAACUUCUUUUGACAGGGAAGAGCAGAAUACGGUACCUGUCGAAUAAGCCACGGCUAACGACGUGCCAGCAGCCGCGGUAAUACGGAGGUGGGAAGCGUUUUCCGGAUUUACUUGGUGGAAAGGGCGUGUAGGCGGGCUGACAAGUCAGAUGUGAAAUCCCGGGGCUCAACCCCCGAACUGCAUUUGAAACUGUUGGUCUUGAGUGUCGGAGAGGCAAGCGGAAUUCCGGGUGUAGCGGUGGAAUGCGGAGAUAUGAGGAGGAACACCAGUGGCGAAGGCGACCUGCUGGACGACAACUGACGGUGAGGCGCGAAAGCGUGGGGAGCAAACAGGAUUAGAUACCCUAGUAGUC